rnacentral:rRNA from 1 species
GUGACCUACGGGGCGCAGCAGUGGGGAAUAUUGCACAAUGGGGGAAACCCUGAUGCAGCAACGCCGCGUGAGUGAAGAAGUAUUUCGGUAUGUAAAGCUCUAUCAGCAGGGAAGAGAAUGACGGUACCUGACUAAGAAGCCCCGGCUAACUACGUGCCAGCAGCCGCGGUAAUACGUAGGGGGCGAGCGUUAUCCGGAUUCACUGGGUGUAAAGGGAGCGUAGACGGCCAUGCAAGCCUGGAGUGAAAGCCCGGGGCCCAACCCCGGGACUGCUCUGGGAACUGUGCGGCUGGAGUGCGGGAGGG